GACGAACUCUGGCGGCGUGCUUAACACAUGCAAGUCGAACGGUAAGGCUCCAGCUUGCUGGGGUACACGAGUGGCGAACGGGUGAGUAACACGUGGGUGACCUGCCCUGCACUUCGGGAUAAGCCUGGGAAACUGGGUCUAAUACCGGAUAGGACCGCACCGUGAGGGUGUGGUGGAAAGUUUUUUCGGUGUGGGAUGGGCCCGCGGCCUAUCAGCUUGUUGGUGGGGUAAUGGCCUACCAAGGCGGCGACGGGUAGCCGGCCUGAGAGGGUGGACGGCCACAUUGGGACUGAGACACGGCCCAGACUCCUACGGGAGGCAGCAGUGGGGAAUAUUGCACAAUGGGCGGAAGCCUGAUGCAGCGACGCCGCGUGGGGGAUGACGGCCUUCGGGUUGUAAACUCCUUUCACCAUCGACGAAGGGUUUCUGACGGUAGAUGGAGAAGAAGCACCGGCUAACUACGUGCCAGCAGCCGCGGUAAUACGUAGGGUGCGAGCGUUGUCCGGAAUUACUGGGCGUAAAGAGCUCGUAGGUGGUUUGUCGCGUCGUCUGUGAAAUUCCGGGGCUUAACUCCGGGCGUGCAGGCGAUACGGGCAUAACUUGAGUACUGUAGGGGAGACUGGAAUUCCUGGUGUAGCGGUGAAAUGCGCAGAUAUCAGGAGGAACACCGGUGGCGAAGGCGGGUCUCUGGGCAGUAACUGACGCUGAGGAGCGAAAGCAUGGGGAGCGAACAGGAUUAGACACCCUGGUAGUCCAUGCCGUAAACGGUGGGCGCUAGGUGUGGGUUUCCUUCCACGGGAUCCGUGCCGUAGCUAACGCAUUAAGCGCCCCGCCUGGGGAGUACGGCCGCAAGGCUAAAACUCAAAGGAAUUGACGGGGGCCCGCACAAGCGGCGGAGCAUGUGGAUUAAUUCGAUGCAACGCGAAGAACCUUACCUGGGCUUGACAUAUACAGGAUCGCGCCAGAGAUGGUGUUUCCCUUGUGGCUUGUAUACAGGUGGUGCAUGGUUGUCGUCAGCUCGUGUCGUGAGAUGUUGGGUUAAGUCCCGCAACGAGCGCAACCCUUGUCUUAUGUUGCCAGCACGUUGUGGUGGGGACUCGUAAGAAACUGCCGGGGUUAACUCGGAGGAAGGUGGGGAUGACGUCAAAUCAUCAUGCCCCUUAUGCCCAGGGCUUCACACAUGCUACAAUGGUCGGUACAGUGGGUUGCCAGUCCGUGAGGGCGAGCUAAUCCCGCAAAGCCGGUCUCAGUUCGGAUCGGGGUCUGCAACUCGACCCCGUGAAGUCGGAGUCGCUAGUAAUCGCAGAUCAGCAACGCUGCGGUGAAUACGUUCCCGGGCCU
rnacentral:rRNA from 1 species